AGUCGGCAUGGCUGGGUCUUCUGCUCUGGACGGUGGUGACUGACUGGGUCUCAGGAGCUGCCAACACAAGAGAGACUUGGAGGCUUUGUAUUCAAUCAUCAUUGAGAGCCUAUUAGGAGAACAAGGUGCCAUGCGGCCACUUGAAAGGCUGAGUGUCUAGAAAUGGCCAUUACAGGGGAAAAUCCUUCCGCUUGGCUGACUGGGGCCAGGUCUAUGGCUUUAAAGCAAUUGGCGCAGAUGCUGAGUGAGGGGGUGCAUUCAUUUUGUGCUCAAUAAAACCAGUUUUAUUCAGGGAAGUGAAUUGUUAUCCCCUCGGGAAGGGUGAAGGUGUAAAAACAGGUUGUAAUUCUUGGAGAAUCUAAUUCCUCUGUUGUUGGAGUCGGAAAGAGAAAGAGGGAGAGAGACAGAGAGGUGGAUGAAAGUGAGCUCUGUUGUCCUGGGGUAAUUAGGCAGCUUGGAUUUCUCCUGGAGCUUCAGGACGGUGCCAGAUGUGCCCAGGCCUUCUGUGCGCCACCCCACAGAGCUAGCAUCCAGAGUCCACCUCCUCCCCACUGUGGCUGCUCCUCGUGUCUGGGAAUACAUCAAAGGAGGUUUGAUAUUCAUAACUGCUGUGAGUCAUUUUCACAUGGAGCUGUGGGGAGCUGCCUUCACCACGGCAUGCUGUAUUCAGCCCUUUGUAAGAGCAGCUGAGCUGAACCAAUCCCCCAUUAUGGGCGAGAGUCGAUCCCUCCUGGGAGACCUGGAUUUGCCCCCAGACCCCUGUGCAGAAUAAAAUGGGUCUUUUUAUUGAGAAAUAGUUAUUAAAACAUCCUCCGGUCUUGCCCAUACAUCUCCACCGCCCACCGAGACAGCUCUGCGUGGUCUCUUCCACAAGAGUGUGGCCACCUCCAGGCCCUGCUGUUAGUGUCAGUAACAUCUGAAACUUCCCUGUUUCUCUUGCUCUGAGGACAAAGAACAUCAACAAGACUCCAACCACGACCACAUUUCUUCUCAACUGGAGGAGGAAAUGCUGCUUGCUCCUGUUGAGUGUGGCUAUUGUUGGAAAAAGCAUCAUGUGUGACACUCUCUGAGGGCUGGCAGAGGCUUGUGAAAUUAAAGCCACAGGAUCGCAGAGCUGGAAGGGGCCUUAGUCAUCAUCCAGUACCAGCCCCUCAAAUUACAGAUGAGAAAAUGAGGCACGGAGAGGGGAUUUGAUUGCAUUGCCAUUCCACAAGACAUCACAUGGAUCCACUACGUUGAUGGACCAACUGCUUUAGACACCUUGCAAAGCUCAGAAUCCAAAGUACAUGUUCUUUCCACCACUGGACCUUUGUGUCUUCAAUCAGAGGGCUUCAGGUUUUCCAAAGCACUGCUUAGCUCUUCACUUCAGCAUUGGCCAUUAUAAAUUUUCCUAAAAAUCCAAAUCCCUAGGGGGGGUUCAGUCAGUUAAGCGUCCGACUUCGGCUCAGGUCAUGAUCUAGUGGUCCGUGAGUUCCAGCCCCGCGUCGGGUUCCA